CCCUACGGGGUGCCCGUUACUGGAUGCUGGCCAUCUGAGGGCAGCGUUUCGAUGGAGGCGCUCGAUCAGAUCGUCCGUACUGGUUUCGCGUGGACGGCGACAGACGAGACAAUACUGCUGCGAGAACUGCAGGGAGCACCACGCUCCAGGUUGUACAAGCCCUAUGUCACGAAGACGGCGUCAGGCAACCUGUCCAUGCUGUUCCGCGACAGAGGCCUGUCGGAUGCGAUAGGCUUUCAAUAUGCUUCCAUGAGAGAGGAAGAUUCUGUUGCACAGUUCAUGGAACAUGUGCGUGCGAUACGAGACGGCUUGAGCGAACCCGGCGUGCUGUCGAUCAUCAUGGAUGGCGAGAAUGCCUGGGAGGUCUACCCAGGCGGGGGGGC
rnacentral:rRNA from 1 species